rnacentral:rRNA from 1 species
AGUCGAGCGGACAGAAGGGAGCUUGCUCCCGGAUGUUAGCGGCGGACGGGUGAGUAACACGUGGGUAACCUGCCUGUAAGACUGGGAUAACUCCGGGAAACCGGAGCUAAUACCGGAUAGUUCCUUGAACCGCAUGGUUCAAGGAUGAAAGACGGUUUCGGCUGUCACUUACAGAUGGACCCGCGGCGCAUUAGCUAGUUGGUGAGGUAACGGCUCACCAAGGCGACGAUGCGUAGCCGACCUGAGAGGGUGAUCGGCCACACUGGGACUGAGACACGGCCCAGACUCCUACGGGAGGCAGCAGUAGGGAAUCUUCCGCAAUGGACGAAAGUCUGACGGAGCAACGCCGCGUGAGUGAUGAAGGUUUUCGGAUCGUAAAGCUCUGUUGUUAGGGAAGAACAAGUGCAAGAGUAACUGCUUGCACCUUGACGGUACCUAACCAGAAAGCCACGGCUAACUACGUGCCAGCAGCCGCGGUAAUACGUAGGUGGCAAGCGUUGUCCGGAAUUAUUGGGCGUAAAGGGCUCGCAGGCGGUUUCUUAAGUCUGAUGUGAAAGCCCCCGGCUCAACCGGGGAGGGUCAUUGGAAACUGGGAAACUUGAGUGCAGAAGAGGAGAGUGGAAUUCCACGUGUAGCGGUGAAAUGCGUAGAGAUGUGGAGGAACACCAGUGGCGAAGGCGACUCUCUGGUCUGUAACUGACGCUGAGGAGCGAAAGCGUGGGGAGCGAACAGGAUUAGAUACCCUGGUAGUCCACGCCGUAAACGAUGAGUGCUAAGUGUUAAGGGGUUUCCGCCCCUUAGUGCUGCAGCUAACGCAUUAAGCACUCCGCCUGGGGAGUACGGUCGCAAGACUGA